rnacentral:misc_RNA from 1 species
UUAGAUCCUCUCCAUCGUCAAUAGGAACAAUAGGGAUAUAAUCUUGCUUGAACCACUCAUGUUCUCUGAUUCCAGCAACAUUGAUCCGACUCUUUGGAUGCGGAUCAAGAAUCCUCCGUAUCAGGUCCUGGGCACCAGGUGAAAGCCAUUUAGGUAUCUUGGUUGCUCCAUUUAAGAUCUUCUGAUAAAGAACAACAAUAUUUCUGUCGUCAAAUGGAAGGGAUCCUGUCAGGAUAACAUAUAGGAUGACACCACAUGACCAAAUAUCUGACAUGGAACCGUCG